UACGGAGGGGGUUAGCGUUGUUCGGAAUUACUGGGCGUAAAGCGCGCGUAGGCGGAUUAGAAAGUUGGGGGUGAAAUCCCGGGGCUCAACCUCGGAACUGCCUCCAAAACUGCUAGUCUAGAGUUCGAGAGAGGUGAGUGGAAUUCCGAGUGUAGAGGUGAAAUUCGUAGAUAUUCGGAGGAACACCAGUGGCGAAGGCGGCUCACUGGCUCGAUACUGACGCUGAGGUGCGAGAGUGUGGGGAGCAAACAGG
rnacentral:rRNA from 1 species